UCCGACCGCAUGAUCAUCUCGAGUAAAACCAAAAAAAAAGUUGCUAAAUUUAUCGGUCGAAAUAAUUGUUUGUAUCCAUUGUUCGUCCUCAAUUGUUUUUGUUCUCUUUGUGUAAAAUAAAACCUCUCUUUCGAUUAUGUGUAUUUGAGUUUAAAACUAGCAUUAGAAGUUUCUCUUACACAAUAACUUCAUCUUGUUAAUAAUUUACCAUCUUUACAGCACUAAAAUAUAUCUUAGGAAGAAUAUUAGACGACACAAAAUACUUGCACAUUACCAAUUUAGAAAGUCUGAAGAUUAUCAAUAAACAUUGAAAUAAAUUCAUAAAUGCAAGAUUAUUUAUCUUUUCCAAGAAGAUAAAUUUAAAUGAAAACGAAAAAAUUGGCCGUAAAUCGAUCAUCAAUCAAUCUGAAUUCCAAACAAGGCUUGCAAAUGAUUGUUAGUGAUAUUUAUGGAGGAAUGUGUAUGUAGAAUCAUAAUGAUCAGGCCGAAGACCCAAAGCCCAAAUAUGUUUAAUACAGUAUAUAUUUCUUAGCUAACAAGUUUGUAAAAUAAAUAUUCCUUCCUUGAUCAAGUAAAGAACAACCAAGUACGAGACCACAGAUCGUAUUUAGAGUAGUUUCGUAUCCUUCGGAUUUAUCUUAAUCUUCAAUAAUCUCAGCGAUGUCUUCUCUCUUCUUCCGCAAAUUUUAAUUUCGUUUUUUUUUUCCUUUUUUACAAUAACUAAACUUGAUUAAGUUCAAUAGAUAGUCCUCUGAACUGAUUCAUCACAGAGUCUCCGUUAUCGAUUCAAUCACACCCUCAAUGUCGACCACCAAGCCCCAAAGAUCUCCAUCCGAAAUCGAGGACAUAAUCCUCCGCAAGAUCCUCCAGCUCGCUUACUGGCUUCUGGUUUGAUGUUAUAGUCAUCCUCCCGGUUCCGCAGGUUAAAACCUUUUUCAGAACAAUCCUCAAACUAUUCCAAUAUUAUUAAAAUAACCAUAAAUAUUUUAUUAGUGUCAAUUAAGCCCCCAUGAAGCAUUUGAAAGUGUUGUGUUUUUUUGCAGGCUGUGUUUUGGUUAGUGGUGCCAAAACUGAUAAGAGAAGAGAAGGUUAAGCUGAUAAUGACGAUCCUUCUGCUGAUCUUCUUGUUCCAGUUCCUCCCCAAGAUUUAUCACUGCAUCUGCUUGAUGAGAAGGAUGCAGAAGGUCACUGGUUACAUUUUUGGGACUAUUUGGUGGGGUUUUGCUCUUAACCUCAUCGCGUAUUUCAUCGCUUCUCAUGUAAGUCCUCUAAGGCUGCACAGAAAACAACUUCUAAGAGGAGAAAUGAUACUAAAGAUGGCCCUUUCAUGGAAUCUUUUUGUGUGGUUACAGGUAGCUGGGGGAUGCUGGUAUGUUCUUGCAAUACAGCGUGUGGCUUCUUGUAUCAGACAGCAGUGCAUGAGGACUGCGAACUGUAAUCUGAGUCUGUCUUGCCAAGAAGAGGUCUGUUACCAAUUCGUGUCACCCAGUAGCACAAUUGGGUUUCCAUGCGUAUCUGGAAACCUCACCAGUGUGGUUAAGAAGCCUAUGUGCUUAGACUCUGACGGACCAUUCCGAUAUGGUAUCUACGGUUGGGCGCUUCCGGUCAUCUCUAGCAACUCUCUUGCCGUUAAGAUACUUUACCCUAUCUUCUGGGGGUUAAUGACUCUCAGGUACUUUCAGAGUUUCAGGUUUCCACGCUUAAUAACCUCUAAUUGUCAAAUACUGACUCUGAUUUGUGUGUCGCGUUUUACAGCACAUUCGGGAACGAUCUUGAGCCCACAAGCAACUGGCUUGAGGUUGUUUUCAGCAUAGUUAUGGUCCUUAGCGGGUUACUACUCUUCACUCUCUUGAUCGGAAACAUUCAGGUAAACUAUGCAAGGAUAAGUCUCUCCUUCUAUUAUAUAUUUUUAUUGAUGGAAUCAUAAGUUUUUAACAACUUGAUUACUUUCUUUUGUAGGUGUUUUUGCACGCGGUGAUGGCAAAGAAGAGGAAAAUGCAGAUACGGUGUAGGGAUAUGGAAUGGUGGAUGAAACGUAGGCAGUUGCCUUCUCGGUUAAGACAGAGAGUUAGGAGAUUUGAGCGGCAGAGAUGGACUGCCUUGGGUGGAGAAGACGAGCUGGAACUUAUACAAGAUCUGCCUCCGGGUCUUCGAAGAGAUAUUAAGAGAUAUCUUUGCGUUGAUCUCAUUAACAAUGUACUAGAACACAAACCUUGGAUGAAUCUUGUUCAGAUCUGUGAAAACAUCAACGGUCAAGUCUCUGAUAAUAUCUGUUUUUUUUUUCUUAGGUGCCAUUGUUCAGGGGCAUGGACGAUUUGAUCCUAGACAACAUUUGCGAUCGUGCUAAGCCUCGUGUCUACUCUAAAGACGAAAAGGUACUCGUCGCAUCAUAAGAGUGUUUUUUUUGUCUUUAGUUUGUAAAAUCUGAGUUCUUGGUGUUAUGUUGAUUGUCACAGAUCAUCCGGGAAGGAGAUCCUGUACAGAGAAUGAUAUUCAUCAUGCGCGGGAGAGUGAAACGUAACCAGAGCCUAAGCAAAGGCGUUGUAGCCACUAGUACUCUCGAACCAGGCGGUUACUUAGGGGACGAGCUACUCUCAUGGUGCCUACGGCGUCCAUUUAUCGACCGUCUUCCUCCUUCCUCCGCAACCUUUGUCUGUCUCGACAACAUCGAGGCGUUCUCCCUCGGAUCCGAAGAUCUUCGGUACAUAACCGAUCAUUUCCGCUAUAAAUUCGCAAACGAGCGCCUUAAGAGGACUGCAAGAUACUACUCCUCAAACUGGAGGACGUGGGCUGCGGUGAAUAUACAAAUGUCGUGGCGCCGGUACAGGAAGAGAACAUGUGGUGGUGUAGGCGGUUCGAUGAGUCCUGUGUCGGAACAUAGCGUUGAAGGUAACAGUGAACGCCGUUUGCUUCAGUAUGCAGCAAUGUUCAUGUCCAUCCGACCGCAUGAUCAUCUCGAGUAAAACCAAAAAAAAAGUUGCUAAAUUUAUCGGUCGAAAUAAUUGUUUGUAUCCAUUGUUCGUCCUCAAUUGUUUUUGUUCUCUUUGUGUAAAAUAAAACCUCUCUUUCGAUUAUGUGUAUUUGAGUUUAAAACUAGCAUUAGAAGUUUCUCUUACACAAUAACUUCAUCUUGUUAAUAAUUUACCAUCUUUACA
rnacentral:lncRNA from 1 species